GUUCCUAGAUGCUACUCAGCUGUCCCCAAUCUGACAAUCUGCUUCUUGAGCAGGACACAGAGCCACACUCUGUGUGAAGGAUUGUUUUGUGCCACUCUGCCUGCAUUACUGAGGGUUUCUACCUGGACCUGAUCUUCUGUCCCACUGAGCGUUUUUUUCCACACGUGUGUAGGCUGCUGGCAUGUCAGUGCAUCAUUGCAGCCCAAUGGAGGUCAUAACAGGAAUUUAUUGUUUGAAAGAAGAUUGUGAAACAAACAAACCAGCACCACAGCACCUAAACCCCAAUCUGGUGCUCGGCUCCCUGCCUGCAUUGGUGAGGCCUCCUCUGUCUUGAAUACCUGGCAGAUGCUAAAUAAGUUAAUUUGCCCCACCUGUCAGGUGAGCAGAAUGUUAAGAAGAAACAGCAGCAGGACAUAACGCAGGACAGCUGCUCCAUGCUGGGCUUUGGCAGAGACAGACCUGGUCCGUUUAACUCUCGACAAAGGAGGGACACGAGCUGCGAGGCGUUUCAGGUGCGACAGAUGCCUUCAGAGCCGUCGGGAAAAGGGGCUGACGUGUGAGAGAAAUGGAGAAGUGCUGUAGCAAAAGCUCGUCUUGGUGGGGUUUCAACAAAGAAGGAUCAAGAGAUUAGAGAGAACUGGAUCCUCUCUGGCAGGGUGAGGACAGAGCUCCUGAUGACUGAUACCAAGAUUGCUGGAGAGGUUUAAAGUGUAAUCAGGAGAGUGAGCAGACAUCCAGCUCUUUCUUCUGUUCCCUCAAGACCUAUGUUCAUAGUUCAUAGUUAAAAUACUAUUAGUCUUAUUACUAGUUUGUUUUCAGAGGCAAAUUUCCAGGUUAUUUUGUCAUUUUUUUCUGUGCAGCUCCUAAAGACAAAACUACAACUCAUUUAUGUGCAUUAGACAACUGAGACUGUAGAAAAAAAAAAGUAAUACGAAAUUUUUAAUUACAAUCGAGUCUUGCAUUCCUGUUGAUGCUUUUUAUUGAGAAUAACUGAAAAUGUACUUGCAGAGAGAAACAGAAACAAGACUCAUAAUUUCACUCUAUAACUACAGCCAACAAUUUGGCACAUUGAAAACUAACUCAAGUGUAAAAAUAUGGACACACUGGGCAUCUGAUGCAUAGUCAAGGAUGUGCUAAUCAAUCCCAGGUUCUUGAACGCACAUUCAGCCCAAAGUGUUCACACUGAACAAGCAGGGAGGGGCUUUUUCUCAGUGCGCAAUGUCAAUGUGUUAAAAAUCUCACAUUUCUCGCUCCAGGGUUUUGAAAGAUUUGUCAUUUCAUUCGGGUUGGGCACAAAUCAUAGUUUUUAAAUGUUCCUUUAUGACCAGUUUUCAAACGGUUGGUACUUCUGUGAAUGGAAGGGGACAAAAUCCAUACAUCACUACUCAAUAGGAGUCCCUGAUUGGUCAACGUUCAGUCAGUUUAACUUGUAACGUGUAUUCAGUGGCCAUAGAGCACAAAUAUGGUCAUAAAAACUGGCAUUGCUACAAGUGACUGUGAGAGUUUUGAGCGUGGAAGCCCGAAAAACAGUUCCACACAUUUAUGUAGACUUUCCAUUGGAAGUGGUUGCAUGAACACUUCGCUUUACGAGGGACACCAAUAGAGCUCCAAGCUCCUUAACCAAACCAGACCAAAGAAAAUGUCCUGAAAGCCAUUAUUUAACCUAUGUUCUCAGAUUUAGGAUUAAACAAAUGACUGCUACAACUAUAUGCUAUAUGUGCCAUACUGCAUGAAUCUUAAUAUUAACAUGUUUGAAUUAAAACUAAAUUACUAUUAGUUGUUAGGCUGCUAAAAGUUUGAAGCUGAGAAAAGUAUUGUGCACUGGGGUUCUGUCCUUUAUUCUCGUUUACUUUUACUCUCUAUUUUUUAUUAUUUAUUUUAUUGAGUUCUCUAUGCCUCUGUUUGGUGCAGUUCAAUUCAUGGGUUGUUCCUCUUUCCCAAUGUGUGAAGGUGACCACAGGAUCUUUAGCUUCAGAACAGCUUUAAUGGGCAUGUUCCAAAAAUGUGUUUCCUACUUUUUUGCCUUUUCCGAAAGAACAUUAAGUGUAAACUAUGGCAAACGCUGAAAUAAAAACCAAUGGGUUACGGGUAAAAAAUAUUUUACAUCAUAAACAGGUUCUUUAUCAACA